CUUUCUUGACGGAUCUGGAUCUAGAGUCAGAUUAAGCCCGUCAUUUUGAUUUUCCUGUCACUGAACGAGCUAAGGCAAAUUGCUUCGCUGUCCUGUGUCCCAUUUCUUCACCUGCCCUCUUGUACUCCUUUUCUCGGAAGACUGUGCAGAAAAUGAAAGGUGGUUUUGAUUAAUGAACCAAAACAAGUGAAUUUGUGUACAGAAGACAGAAAGAAUUAUAACUCAGAUGGUUGCUUUUAGGUAUUACCAACUUCUGAACAGAAAAUCUUCCUCUCAGCAUUGGGUAAAUUUCAACAGCACGUAGAUUUCUCAUGGGAUGUAUAUACACUUCAACAAUGAAAUGGUAUCUCUAUGUAAGGCUGGUGGGAAGUUCCGUGGAGUUUCUGGAUGCAAAAGAUACCCACCCAUACCUGCACAUACUUUAUAUUUUGGACUGUGCUAGCCUAUAAGCCACCUUUGUGCAAAAAUAGAGUAAAAAAGUCCCUUAUCUAAGCAGACGUUUCUAGAUGGGUGGCUGGCUUGGUGCAUGGAUAGAGCCUCUAUGAAAAGCAGAACCCAGUGCUGCUUCUUCAGGGAAGACGCAACUCCAGCCCAGAGGACACGUGUGUUGAGCAGAACAAUGGCUGGAUUUCAGCCCCUCCUUUCUUCUGGCUUGGAGCCUUGGACAGGGAACAACUUGCUCACAUUGUCUGGUUCUGCACAGAAGGAGCUUGGAAGUCACCACUCUGUCCUAAGCUGAACCGACUUAAAAAUCAACGACUCUUCUUGGAUCCCUAAGAGAGGGGAGAACAUGGGGCAAACUGCUGCCCCCGAGACUGAAGAGGCCAAGCGGUGCGCACAGGGAGUCGUGGCACACUGGAGUGGAGACUCUCCAGCAGCAACCAUCACGGGGACCAGCGCCGAGGUGGGAACACCUGAACUGACGAAUUGCUGAAAGCUGGGUGCAGAAAACUCUGAGACUUAAAUACUCCCGGGGGCUCAGUCAUAGGACCCCCCAGUAUAGUGAGAUUUCCUUCCAGGAGCUCAAACCACAGUAAAUAUUCCAGAUAGCUACAGUAAACAUUGGAGAUUCCAAGAAAUAUUGGAAAUAUUGGAGAAAAAUCCCCUUGGGCUUCUGUCAGGGGAGGGGACAAGGAACCAAUUUCAAAUAUGCCAGAGCACUCUGCUCUUCUUAACGAGGCCUGCCCUCAUUGUCAACUUGUUAGCCAGAGCCUAAUCCACUUUAGUACUUAAGUGACCUAGGGAUAGGCAACACUCAACUUCAGCCCACUCCAGCCUUGCAUGUUGGAGAAGGGAGCUAGCCAACUCCAGCCCACUCGAGACAUCCUGUUCCAUCUAAAGGGGGAGAAAAAAACCCAGAAGCAC
rnacentral:lncRNA from 1 species